AUGCAUUCCUCCACAGGCCUCAAGGCAGCGCACAUUCAACAUGCCCAGCUCUAAUUAUCACCUACUAAUGAUGUGUUUAGUGUUUCCCCACAGCAUAGACACCAGAUCUAUUCCCAAAGAUGAGUGAGUCGAUACAGGGAGAGAAAGGAGUGUUUCUUUUUAUGCAAGGUGGAAGCAAGCUUUAUUAAGAUGAGUUCCAGAAAAGUGAGAAAUUAAAACCGGGGAAACUUGUAAAAGUGGGAGAGGGGUCCAGGAGAGAAGAGUACCAAAAAGGAGAACUUUUUUUUAAAUUUUGUUUUCAAGGCAGGAUUUCACAAGUUAGCCCAAGCUGAGGUUCCUCUUCCCAAAUAUCCACAGCUUACAUCAAAAUUGGCAAAGGAAAACUAGCGAGUGCAUCUAGGCUGGACUUGAACUUGGGUUUGUGCUGUGAUUACAUGUGCACUACUGCCCUGCUAAGCAGAAGAAGGCUUAUUCAUCUGUUUUAUCAUGAUAUCUAGACCCAGGACAGAAGACGGCUACACAGCAUCCAUGCUUUUCCCUGCUCUGUGAGGAGACCUUCAGGUAAUUCGCACGGGAUUCUACUAUGAGAAGCAUGGGGCUGGGCUCAGCAGCUUGAAAAUGCAUGUGGAAACCAGCUCCAGUUCCCCGAUUUCACGGACAAAGGCGCUGC